rfam:Ixodes scapularis strain Wikel colony gcontig_1107728561384, whole genome shotgun sequence.
GCGGUCGUGGCCGAGUGGUUAAGGUGAUGGACUAGAAAUCCAUGAGGGUCCCCCCGCACAGGUUCGAAUCCUGUCGACUGCG